UAUUGGGGAAGAUUACAAGGGAGGAGGAAGAAGAUUGAUAUAUCUGACACAAGAUGAGCAAUAUACAAAGUUUGUUGUAAUUCCGUAGUGCACAUUAAAAAUUCUUGCAUGGCCUAUAUAGGUUAAACAAUGCAUGUAUAGAUUGAGGAAAACACUAGCAAGUGAAGUGCUAGGAGAAUAAAUGUGCAUGGCGUAGUGAUGAGAGAAUGAUGUGAUGAGUGAAUCUCCAAAUUGAAUGGAUCAUCAUAAGAGUUUCCACUAACAUAGAUGAACCUCGGUGGAGGCGGAGGUGGUGGUGGAGGAGGACUGCAAUACGGAGGCGGAGGCGGAGGAGAUGGCGGCUGUUGGGUGCAUGGAUUCAGACAAGGGCAUUCCCCACACUUUAUGAUUGGAUGAAUCGAAUCAUCAAUCUUGGUAGAAAAUGUCACACUUGUAGCAAUCACAAGGACCACCACUAACAAUAUUUGACUCCAUUUGCAGGCAAUCAAAGGCAUUGCGGCUCUCACUAUAUCCUCACAAGUUCACAACAAGAGAUCGAAAAGCAACAAAUUUGAGUGAUGAGGGAUUUUGUUUGAUAGUUUCAAAGAUGGAACUCCAAGAGGUGAAGUAUUUAUGCAAUGUGGUUGGGUAAUGGUUAGUUUGGUUAGGUGAAGUUGUG
rnacentral:lncRNA from 1 species